UACAGAGGUCCCAAGCGUUAGGCGGAAUCACUGGGCUUAAAGCGCGUGUAGGCGGAUCCGUAAGUGCCUUGUGAAAUCCCACGGCUUAACCGUGGAACGGCUGGGCAUACUGCGGGUCUUGAGCCAUCUAGGGGCCUGCGGAACAAGCGGUGGAGCGGUGAAAUGCGUAGAUAUCAGGAAGAACACCAAUGGCGAAGGCAGCUCUCUGGGACGGUACUGACGCUGAGACGCGAAAGCGUGGGGAGCGAACAGG
rnacentral:rRNA from 1 species